rnacentral:rRNA from 1 species
UUUAACGGCCGCGGUACCCUAACCGUGCGAAGGUAGCAUAAUCACUUGUUCUUUAAAUGAGGACUUGUAUCAAUGGCAUCACGAGGGUUUCACUGUCUCCUUUUUCUAAUCAGUGAAACUGAUCUCUCCGUGAAGAAGCGGAGAUUUUCUUAUAAGACGAGAAGACCCCAUGGAGCUUUAAACCCAAUUACACUCCUAUUUUUUAUUAACCUCUUAGACUAUGGAUGUUUGUAUAUUU